GUGGAGGGUGUUUGUUGUGUGUCUGCUGUCUCUUUUGUUUUUAACACGCUUUUCUUCGGCGCCCGUGUGUACACGGAAGGGGCGCGUCCCGGCUGGGCUCGGCGGCUCUCGGAGCCCCUUUUUAUCCGUUCUCCUCCGCCCCGUGCGCUUCCACUGAGGGAUUUCUUCGCGUCCCGCACCCGGGGGGCCGCCCCCCUUCCUUUCCCUUCCCCUCUCGGCCGGAGACUCGCGGCGCUUCCCUCUGGAUGCGUCCCCGCAGCCCCAGGCGGGAGGCGGCCGGGGGGAAGCGCUGCCUCCAAGGAUUUACCGACCCAACCCCGCGCCAUCUCCUUCCCCGCGGGCGCUCCGUUACCGCCCCGGACCUCUACCGCCGUUAUGGACGAGAGGUAUCUGCCCGAGCUGAUGGCGGAGAAGGACUCGUUGGACCCGUCCUUCACGCACACCCUGCGGCUGGUCAACCAAGAAAUUGAAAAAUACCAGAAAGGAGAAGGAAAGGAGGAAGAAAAAUAUAUUGAUGUGGUCAUCAAUAAAAAUAUGAAGUUGGGGCAAAAAGUUUUGAUUCCAGUAAAGCAAUUCCCUAAGUUUAACUUUGUGGGAAAGCUUUUGGGUCCACGUGGCAAUUCUUUAAAGCGCUUGCAGGAAGAAACGCUGACAAAGAUGUCUAUUUUGGGAAAAGGUUCUAUGAGGGAUAAGACAAAGGAGGAGGAAUUGAGAAAAAGCGGAGAGGCAAAAUACUUCCACCUAAAUGAUGACCUUCAUGUUUUAAUUGAAGUUUUUGCUCCACCAGCAGAAGCAUAUGCCAGAAUGGGGCAUGCGUUAGAAGAAAUCAAGAAGUUUCUCAUCCCUGACUACAAUGAUGAAAUCAGACAGGCACAGCUUCAAGAGUUAACGUAUUUGAAUGGUGGUUCAGAGAAUGCAGAGGUUCCAGUAGUUCGUGGAAAGCCAUCUAUUCGAGCAAGGGGAGUACCGGUUCCUGCUUUGACCAGGGGCCGUGGAGGAGUCCCUCCACCACCUGCAGGAGUACCGAGAGGGGCACCAGCACCCAGAGGAGUGCCUCCCAGUAGAGGACCAGUCAGUCGUAGCCGUGGACUUCUAGCACCCAGAGCAAGAGGAGUACCUCCACCUGCAGGCUACCGGCCUCUGCCACCACCUCCGGCACAGGAGACAUAUGGUGAAUAUGAAUAUGAUGAUGGCUAUGGAACUGCUUAUGAUGAACAAAGCUAUGAUUCCUAUGAUAACAGCUAUAGUACUCAAGCACAAAGUGGAGCUGAUUACUAUGACUACGGCCAUGGACUGAGUGAAGAAACAUAUGAAUCAUAUGGGCAAGAAGAAUGGACCAACUCAAGACACAAGGCGCCUUCGGCAAGGACGACAAAAGGAGUCUACAGAGACCAGCCAUAUGCCAGAUACUGAUUGUACUGUCUGAUGUUGUGAAAUAUCCAAUCUCCACCAGUCCUGUAUACUGUUCAAAGAAACUCAACUCCUUGGACAGCCAAGACAAAAACAAAAACCUUAAUCUUCUGAUGCUUUGGAACUUCUGCCAUGUUAAUUACUGACUGCUUAGAACAUUGUACUUGUCCAUGUGCCUAGGCAACAAUGAGACAGGCUUCGGAGUAUGAAAACUCUGUUUCUGUAUUUCUUGUAUUAAAGCCUUAAAGUGUAUAAUGUUAUAUACUUUUUAAAAUAAUUGUAUAUAUGAACCCUUAUUUGUUUAGUGAUUCAAAAUGUUCUACUUGGAUCUCAAUAAAGAAUUUUCAUUUAAGUUCCUGUUACAAAGCAAUAAUGCACCUUCACAUUCCUGUAGUGACUCUUUUUAGCCUUAUGCAGAAACUUAAGUGUGUAUGAAUUCUCAUGACUAGACUUUAAAUAUGCUUUUGGAAAUAGAUUGUCUGAUAUAUGAACAACGUGGAUAAAUUAAACUGAGGAUCAGUGUUUCUUCAGGAAAUUUAUGUAUUAGCUAAACAUAAGCACCAAACAAAACUCAUGGGUAGUAGUGAUAAUCCAGUUUCCUUCAGAAACUUGUAUGACAUGGUAUUUUAAUUCCUGUCAGUUGUAUUAUGCCGCUUAUUCUCUUUCACUUGGUGUUUGCAUAGAAUUGUUUAUUCUGAUAAGCAAUCACUGGUUUUCUAGCAGUAGUCCUGGAUGAGGCUUUUACACUUUAAUUAAUCUUGUAUCUUACAGUUCUGUUUACUCGACGCUUUCUGCUUUAUUUCAAUCGUGGUUGUGAUAAUUUGUAACAGAAAUAAAAUUCUGAUAAUUCAA